rnacentral:rRNA from 1 species
UACGGAGGGGGCUAGCGUUGUUCGGAAUUACUGGGCGUAAAGGGUGUGUAGGCGGUUGUUUAAGUUUGGUGUGAAAUCUCCCGGCUCAACUGGGAGGGUGCGCCGAAUACUGAAUGACUUGGAGUGCGGGAGAGGUGAGUGGAAUUCCUGGUGUAGCGGUGAAAUGCGUAGAUAUCAGGAGGAACACCGGUGGUGUAGACGGCUCACUGGACCGUAACUGACGCUGAGACACGAAAGCGUGGGUAGCAAAACAGG